rnacentral:lncRNA from 1 species
CCAGACAGGCCCUAUAUCCCAGGAUGUGAUCCUAGGUUUUCUGCUUUAAACAGGAUUAUAUGCACACCCACUGCCAGAUAAUCUGGGAUAAACAGAAAACCUGGGAUUAGAUCCUGGGAUAUUGGGCCUGCCUGGAAGGGCCCCUUGGCACCAUUCACACAGCUGAAUAAAAUCCUACAUUUUCUACUUUGAACUGGAAUACAUGGCAGUGUGGACUCAGAUAACCCAGUUCAAGGUAGAUAUUGUGGGAUUUUCUGCCUUGAUAUUCUGGGUUAUAUGGCUGUGUGGAAGGGCCCUGGGUCCACACUGCCAUAUCUUGCAGGUCAAAGCAGAAAAUGUGGAAUUUUAUUCAGCUGUGUAGGAGGCUCAGGGCCCUUCCACACAGCCCUAUAACUCAGAAUAUCAAAGCAGAAAAUCCCACAUUAUCUGAGUGUGGACUCUGAUAACCCUGUUCAAAGCCGAUAUUGUGGAAUUUUCUGCCUUGAUAUUCUGGGAUAUAGGGCUGUGUGGAAGGGCCCUCAGUCUUCGUAUGAAUUUGUAUUCAGUGCGUAUGCGCCCCCAAGCCAUGCCUCCAAUCUGGACCCUAACAACAGGGAACGUCUAAUCUCCGCAAGAGAGAGUCUGCCGCUCUAUAAUUGCUAGCUCUAUGUACUCCCCGGCCUUUCUUCUUCCGGUCCUCUGCUCACUACUUCCCUUGCUGGAGUUCCUGGUUAUGUUUCCGAGGGAAGCGGAAGUUUUUUUGUUUUGGUAGCGCUGGGCCUUGUGGGAAGGCCGGCGUCGCCUUGCGCCCAGGCCAGCAGCCAGAGAGGGAGUGAGCGCGGAGGAGGAGGAGGAGGAGAGGCACGGGAUGGCCGCGAAGGCCCGCUCCGGUCGCUGUUCCUAACGAGGCCGUGUGGCCAAGGGAGGGAAUAUUUUUCCCGGCUUUUACAAAUGUUGAAAUUCUUGCAAGAUUGUGAUAAUUCAAAUAAUUGUGUUGAAGCAGUGUGCUCUCAGAAGACUGUUGCCCCCCUCCCCCAAAUCUUGAGUUUCCCUUUUGCAAAUAACACUCUUAGUACUCCUUGCAUACUUUUACAGUUGCUGUGCAAAGAUAAUUCAUAUUGCCUUCAAUUAGAGAACACAAGAACAGCACAAUUAAGAAAGGGAAUCCUAUUUAAUGGAUUCACAUAUAAUGAUAACAUUUAACAGGCCCUAAAAGAUAGAGAACUUACAGUCUUUAAAAGCUGCUUUUGAGAUAUAGUUAAAAUGGUAAUUUAUUCAAACAGAGGAACAGUUUUCUACCCAUGUCUACAAAAUAGAUAAGCCUAUAAAAUAGUUAAGCCUGUUCUUGCUAG